UACGUAGGGUGCGAGCGUUGCCCGGAUUUAUUGGGCGUAAAGGGCGCGCAGGCGGCUACGCACGUCCGUUGUGAAAUCGCUCGGCUCAACUGGGCGGGGUCAGCGGAUACGGCGUGGCUGGAGCAAGCUAGGGGGCAAUGGAAUUCCCGGUGUAGUGGUGGAAUGCGUAGAUAUCGGGAGGAACACCAGUGGCGAAGGCGGUUGCCUGGAGCUUUGCUGACGCUGAUGCGCGAAAGCGUGGGGAGCGAGUCGG
rnacentral:rRNA from 1 species